rnacentral:rRNA from 1 species
GACGAACCGUGCGAACGUUAUUCGGAAUCACUGGGCUUAAAGGGCGCGUAGGCGGGUCGGUAAGUCAGGGGUGAAAUCCCACGGCCCAACCGUGGAAGUGCCUCUGAUACUGCCGGCCUCGAGGGGGGUAGGGGCGUGCGGAACUUCCGGUGGAGCGGUGAAAUGCGUUGAUAUCCAUAGGAACUCCGGUGGCGAAAGCGGUGUGCUGGAUCCCUUCUGACGCUGAGGCGCGAAAGCCAGGGGAGCGAACGGG